UUCCGUAGGUGAACCUGCGGAAGGAUCAUUACCGAGUGAGGACCCUUUGGGUCCAACCUCCCACCCGUGUUUAUUUUACCUUGUUGCUUCGGCGGGCCCGCCUUUACUGGCCGCCGGGGGGCUCACGCCCCCGGGCCCGCGCCCGCCGAAGACACCCCCGAACUCUGUCUGAAGAUUGAAGUCUGAGUGAAAAUAUAAAUUAUUUAAAACUUUCAACAACGGAUCUCUUGGUUCCGGCAUCGAUGAAGAACGCAGCGAAAUGCGAUACGUAAUGUGAAUUGCAAAUUCAGUGAAUCAUCGAGUCUUUGAACGCACAUUGCGCCCCCUGGCAUUCCGGGGGGCAUGCCUGUCCGAGCGUCAUUGCUGCCCUCAAGCCCGGCUUGUGUGUUGGGCCCCGUCCUCCGAUUCCGGGGGACGGGCCCGAAAGGCAGCGGCGGCACCGCGUCCGGUCCUCGAGCGUAUGGGGCUUUGUCACCCGCUCUGUAGGCCCGGCCGGCGCUUGCCGAUCAACCCAAAUUUUUAUCCAGGUGACCUCGGAU
rnacentral:sRNA from 1 species